rnacentral:rRNA from 1 species
GAUGAACGCUGGCGGCGUGCCUAAUACAUGCAAGUCGAACGCUGGAAAUCUAGCUUGCUAGAUUGAAGGAUUGGCGAACGGGUGAGUAAUACAUAAGCAACCUACCCACGAAGACUGGGAUAAUCUCUGGAAACGGGGACUAAUACCGGAUAGGUAAUCGGAAGGCAUCUUCUGAUUAUUAAAGGUUAAAAACACUGGUGGAUGGGCUUAUGGCGCAUUAGUUAGUUGAUGAGGUAACGGCCCACCAAGACGAUGAUGCGUAGCCGGCCUGAGAGGGUGAACGGCCACAUUGGGACUGAGACACGGCCCAGACUCCUACGGGAGGCAGCAGUAGGGAAUUUUCGGCAAUGGGGGAAACCCUGACCGAGCAACGCCGCGUGAGUGAUGACGGCCUUCGGGUUGUAAAGCUCUGUUGUAAGGGAAGAACGGUAGAUAGAGAAUAUCUAAAUGACGGUACCUUACCAGAAAGCCACGGCUAACUACGUG